rnacentral:rRNA from 1 species
CAGCAGCCGCGGGAAUACGAAGGGUGCAAGCGUUACUCGGAAUUACUGGGCGUAAAGCGUGCGUAGGUGGUGGUUUAAGUCCGUUGUGAAAGCCCUGGGCUCAACCUGGGAAUUGCAGUGGAUACUGGGUCACUAGAGUGUGGUAGAGGAUAGUGGAAUUUCCGGUGUAGCAGUGAAAUGCGUAGAGAUCGGAAGGAACAUCUGUGGCGAAGGCGACUAUCUGGGCCAACACUGACACUGAGGCACGAAAGCGUGGGGAGCAAACAGGAUUAGAUACCCCAGUAGUUCCUGUCUCUUAUAA